UUCCAUGCUUUUUAUGUAGGUUUAUUUAGUAGAAUUAUGGAAGUCGGACAAAGCCAGACGAAUGGAGAAGCAGUGUAUUUACAAAAAAGAGACAACAAUGUACAAAGAGCAAUACAACUAUCACAUAUGGCCAAUUGAUAUACGGAUACGUGAAAAUCAGUUCAGCUUCAGGAACAAAGAAGCAAACUCUCAUAUAUAAGAAGCAAAAAAUAUCUAGAAAUACUAGAAAAAUAAAACAGAAAAAAUGGCAUAUAAGGUACGAAUAUAAAUAAAAAAUCAGAAUAAAGUAAAAAUAGUACUCACCUUACUGCUAUGUUGACUGCAAUAUACCAAAUGUACUUAACUGCCUCGAAAACUCGAAUACACUAUGCUUCACUGCUUUUCUCGUUUUUAUAUCAAAGUCCAGUAAUUAUAUUGAUGGGUCUUUAAUUACUGUAUUUUCUCCAUCAAUUAGUGUGACGUAUUUUUUAAAUUACCUUCUAAUUGCUUUGCUAUUAAGCAAAGUUUCUAAUAUUUUUCCAUAUAUCAUUUAGCUAUUAAAUAAAAUUAAAUCAAGUUUCUAAUAUAAUAUAUCUUUCCAUAUUAGCAGUGGCGUAUCUACGGAGAGGUAAAUUUCAUUUUUCUGUGUCAAUUUAUUCUGUUAAAUAAUCAUGUGAGCCAAUAGGACUGAAAAUACUAAAGACUUUUUACAUGCUGUUGUAUUUGAUUUUUUUAUUGGACCAAUAGGAGUUCGAUUUUUUACUUGUGUAUAUUAUAUAAUUUUCACAAUCAAAUUAGUCUAAAAGACUUUUGCUUUGAAAAUUUGCAAUCUUUUUCUAUUGAAUAUCUUCCUUCUAGAUUUUUCUGUCUUUGUCAACUCAGUCGAAGUUCUUUUUCAUAUCGAUGAAUUCAAUUUGUUUUAUGUAUGAGAUUUUAUUUGAGAUUAUAUUUAGAACGAAUUAUGGUAGAUUCCUUCAACGUAAUAUCUGUAUCAAGACAAAUUGGAAUAAAAAUUGCGAAUUGGAAUAAAAAUGGUGAAUUUAAAUAAAAAUGGACUAAAAAUGGCGUCAUCUAGCGGCUAAUAGGUAAACUAUGGUAGAUUUCUUCAACGUAAUGUCAAGGAAAAUUGGAAUAAAAAUAGCGAAUUUAAA
rnacentral:lncRNA from 1 species